rnacentral:tRNA from 1 species
CGGCCGGGCGGGCCGGGGCCCGGACCGUCUCCGCCGACGACGGGGGCCGCGCCCGUACGGCGGGGGUGCGCCGCGAGUCCCACCCCCGCGCGAUCGA